UAGUCAUAUGCUUGUCUCAAAGAUUAAGCCAUGCAUGUCUAAGUAUAAAGGUUAUACAAUGAAACUGCGAAUGGCUCAUUAAAACAGUUAUAGUUUAUUUGAUAAUCGAAAUUACAUGGAUAACCGUGGUAAUUCUAGAGCUAAUACAUGCUGGUUAGCCUGACUUUUAGGAAGGGCUGUAUUUAUUAGAUAACAAACCAAUAUUCCUUGUGUCUAUUGUGACGACUCAUAAUAACUGAUCGAAUCGCAUGGACUUUGUCCGCGAUACAUCAUUCAAGUUUCUGCCCCAUCAGCUUUCGAUGGUAGUGUAUUGGACUACCAUGGCUUUCACGGGUAACGGAGGAUUAGGGUUCGAUUCCGGAGAGGGAGCCUGAGAAACGGCUACCACAUCUAAGGAAGGCAGCAGGCGCGUAAAUUACCCAAUCCUGACUCAGGGAGGUAGUGACAAGAAAUAACGGACCGAGGCUAUGCUUCGGGAUUGCAAUGAGUAGAAUUUAAACCCCUUUACGAGGAUCAAUUG
rnacentral:rRNA from 1 species